rnacentral:rRNA from 1 species
GCUUGCUUCCCUUUGGGCGUUCACCCGGCGCCACGGGGGAUUAACGGGUUUCCACCCUUCCCCCAAGUAAGGGUUACCCCGUAGAAAUGCGCCUUAUCCCUUUUUUUUUUCUUUAGAGGGCCUUUUGAUGAGGACCAAAGAUCCGUCGCUUGGCGGUGGGGGAUGCUUUGGAUUAGUUAUUCGGCGGGUAACGCCCCCCCCGAGACGACGAUCAGUAGGGGGUUUGAGAGGAAAAUCCCCCCACAUGGAACUGAGACACGUUCAAACUCCUACGNGAGGCAGCAGUGAGGAAUAUUGGUCAAUGGCGGAAGCCUGAACCAGCCAAGUAGCGUGCAGGACGACGGCCCUAUGGGUUGUAAACUGCUUUUAUGCGGGGAUAAAGUGGGCCACGUGUGGUCUUUUGCAGGUACCGCAUGAAUAAGGACCGGCUAAUUCCGUGCCAGCAGCCGCGGUAAUACGGAAGGUCCGGGCGUUAUCCGGAUUUAUUGGGUUUAAAGGGAGCGCAGGCCGCCGGGCAAGCGUGUUGUGAAAUGCAGUCGCUCAACGUCUGCACUGCAGCGCGAACUGCCCAGCUUGAGUGCGCGCAACGUUGGCGGAAUUCGCCGUGUAGCGGUGAAAUGCUUAGAUAUGGCGAAGAACUCCGAUUGCGAAGGCAGCUGACGGGUGCGUAACUGACGCUCAUGCUCGAAAGUGCGGGUAUCGAACAGGAUUAGAUACCCUGGUAGUCCGCACGGUAAACGAUGGAUGCCCGCUAUUCGGCCCUUGUGGUUGAGUGGCCAAGCGAAAGCGU